UCUCUCUGCCCUCCACCACUCAGGCUCUGUCUCUCUCUCUCUCUCAAAAAUAAAUAAACAUUUAAAAAAAAAGAAAACAAGUUGCAGAACAUGGUUUGUAGUAUUAUUCCAUUCUUGUAAGGAAAAGAAAAUCUGCAUAACAACAAUGAAAACAUGUUAUACACAUUCUGUCAUAAUUUCAAAAUUACUGGUCUUUAUCCUCGGUCCCAUUUAUUUGCUUUUACUAACAUUUCCUUCUCUAUAUAUACCAUUUCCCUACAUCCAGCUGUUCAGAUCUUGCUUUCCUUUUCAUAACUAGCUCAAAUACCACCUUAUUCAUUCAGCAAGAUUUGUCCUGCCCAUGGUCGGUUAGGCCUUGUGCUGAACCUUGGUGGGAUACAGGAAUGAGUUGUAUCUUGUCCUAUCAGGGAGCUCAAGUCUACAGGGAAGAGACACCUAGACAAUGACAACAUAGUAUGGUUUGGUAUGGGACAGAAGUAGGUUCAGAGGGCUUCCUGAGGAAGGGCACCUAACCCCACGUGUCCCCUACAGGAGGGGACAUGGGUACUGAGGCUUGAAAGAGUGAUAGCUUUUCUUCAUCCCCCAACCCUGCCAGAAAUGGUCUUGCCUACUUUUUUGGCUCUUCCAAGCAAGAUGACCUAGUGGGGGAAAGUAGUUGAAUUAGUACCUUUCUUUAUUUAAAUCCAAGUUUGACCACUUACCAACUCUAUGACUAUGGGCAGGCCAUUUAACCUCUGAGCCUCUGUUUCCUCAUCUGUGUAAUGAGGAUAAUGCCUACUUACCUCUCAGGGCUGAUUGGAGAUGGUGCAUGUAAAAUUCCUGGGUGACUAUCAACUCUUGAAGGGCAUGCACUACCCAUGUCUUGUUUUCCUCAUAGCCAAGUAUGUAGCAUUGGAUUGGAUUGGAUCUAAAAACUUCAUAUAUCUGAGGAUGGUUCCGGAUCAAAGAAUCGGCCCAACCAUAGUGGGGCUUUGAGAUGAGAAGCUGAGAGUAGUACAUGGGAUGGAGGGGGUUACGCUAUAAAAAGAGAGAGCCAGGUCUCUGGUCUUGCCAUGAAAGGGGACGCAGGAGGGAAAAAAUGAAGCCAUGGUAAGUGGAGCCCAGACAGGGCAUUCUGGCCCUGGUUCUUGGCCCUGUUCUACCAAUGCCAUCUUCCAAUCUCAUAGUCCAGGGCAGGGAAGCACGGUGGGCCAAUACUUGCAUUGGUGCCAACACAUCUCAAUUUCAUCCCCAGUUCUUUCACUCACUAGCUGCAUGACCAUAGACAACUCACUUCACAUGUCUGAGCCUAGUUCCUUAUCUGUUAAAAGAAACACAUAACAUCAUGGGGUUUAUAGAUGAGACCAGUUGCUGAAUGCAUGACAUAUAAUGGGUAUUCAAAAAACACGUAGCUGUUAUUAGUGUUCAUUUCAGUAGAUACUUAUGGAGUUCUGCUGUAGCCAGGGCCUAUGCUGGGUAAUGGUUCUUGCCUUCCACAAGUUCCCAGUCAGUUGAGGAGACCAAGGAGAGCUAUGAUAGAGGGGCUCAUGGUGGAGGGGACUGUGGAAGCCCAAAGGAAGGGAUUUGGCCUGGUCUAGGACUGCUGCAGGUCAACUCAGACUAAAAGCUGAGUCUUAGAGGAUGAGUAAGAGGCGGUCAGGGACAGAAGGGUGAAAUGUGGAAGAACCUUUCAGGCAGAAGGAACAGCAUAUGUAGAAGAACCUAGAAGUUAUUGGGUAGGGCCAGAGGUUCUUAACCUGGGUUUCAUGGGCUUCCGGUGGUCCAUGAACCUCCUGAAGUUGAAUGCAAAACAUUUUGGGUGUGUACCUAUGGGCAUUUUUUGUUGGGGAAAUGGUCCGUGGCUUUCACUAUAUGUAUAAAGAUCAAGAACCAAUGUUGCUAGUGAUGAAGUAGCAUGUGAGUAGAUUCUAAACAGGAAAGAAAUUUGGUAUAAUUUGUGUUUUAGAAACAUUGCAGUAGCAGUCAGUAUGAGAAAUGGAUUGUGUGCAUGGAGGCCAGCUGGAAGACCUCAACUGGGGUACUGGCAUGGAAGGGAAUGGAUUUGAGCAGGACUUCUGUUGCAGUACUCCACUGGGCACCAGUCAUAUAGAAACAUUUUAAUUUCAAAUUAUGGAAUCUAAAGCUUUUGGGAGUUAUUAAUGAGAUAGACCCAAUAGAAGAUGAAGGAAAGGGAGGAGACAAGGAUGAGUUGGCAUUAGCAGAGGUCCAGAGGGACAUGAAUCCAGGGUAAUAGUGCAAGAGGAAAAGGGAAUCUCUAUUAAUGCUUACCCAGCAUUCAAAGUCCUUGCUAAUUACUAACUUCCAUCCUACUCAGUUCUCGGAGAUCCUGAGCAACACUGGAGACACUUAUUUCUCUAUGGUCUUUGAAGAGGAAUUACUUCUGGUUUGUGAGUCAGGUUGUUUCCUGAAGAAAGUAGUGUUUGAGCCAAUCAUUCAGGUCCAUAAAGAUUCGGAGAGCUAGAGAUGGGGGAGGAUACUCUGAGUGUGCACACAAAGGCCCAGGGGUGAGAGAUAGCGAAACUAAACAUGGGAGGGUGCAGAGGUUGGACCUGCCUCCAAACAGCUGUCUGGGGAGUUAAGGCUUUCUCUUUCAUGGUAGGCAGCUGGAGAGCAGUGAGCAGUUCUCGAGCAGGCAAGGUGGCAUAUCUCAUCCUUCUAAAAAGCUUUUUCGAAGGAGGGGAAACUAGGGAGGAGGCUGCUGUGGUAAUCCAAAAGAGAGAUAACUGAAGAUAGUGGCCAUGGGGACAGAGCAGAGGAGAUGGAUUUGAGAGGUGAUUGGGAGGAUCUUCUACUACUGGAAUAGUAGGCUGAAUAAAUUGUGGGGGUGGAAGGGAGUGGAGAUGACAGAGGUUGGAAAUCAGAGUGAGUUUCAGUGUUCAGGUCUGGCAAUGGAGUCAUUCAUUCAACAAAUAUUUAUUGAGUGCCAGAUGCUGUGCCGGGCAUUAGGAAUACAGCACCAAACAGAACAGAUGGUGGUCCUGAUGGAUCUUACAGGGGGUGAGAGGGAUAAUAAAUAAAUAAACAACUAAAUAUGUAGAAUGUGUCUGGUGGCACACCUAGCUGGGAGACAGUGAUCCAGAUAGAAGGAACAUAGAGCACAAAGUCCCUGAGGCAGGAGUGUGCGUGUUAUGUUUGAGAGACAGCAGGACACCAAUACCAUUGAACAAAGAGUCAACAGGGAGUGAGAGGAGAAGAUGAGGAGGCGGAAUCGACAGAAUCUGGCAACUGAAUUGUUAAGGGAGCAGGAGGAACCUAGCAUGACUCCCAGGUGUGUUUUGGGCUUGAGCACCUGGGUGGAUGGUGGUGCUUUUCAGGAAGGUGCAAAAUGCAGAGGACAGGUUUGCAGUGGUAAGAUGCUGAGUUCAGGGUCCCUGUGAGCUCAGAAGGCCUUAAAGACCAUCCUGAUGGGGUUUCUGGCAAGGAUUAGGCUUGAUGGGUCUGGGACCCAGGAGAGAGGGGAGGAGAUGGGGAGGGUCCUAAGCCAUACCUGAAGUUAUGCAGUGGAGAUUGCUGAGAAAGGGUGUGGAAUGGAAGAGAAGAGGAUCAGAACUGGGGAAGAGGGACCAACACAGAAGAAAUGAGGAGAGGAAGAAGAGAUGGGGGUGGUCGGAGAAGUAGGAGGAAAACCAGCAGGCAGUGGGCUCAUGGAAGCAGAGGAAGGAAAGAGCCAUCCAUGCACAGGAGGGUCUUGUUAAGAGUGGCAAAUGUUAUAGCUGGUGGAAGUUAGAUGCAGGUGGAAGAGAGUCUAUUGGCUUUAACCACUAGGAGGUCCUCGACGACCUGGCUAAGAACAGUUUCUAUGGCAUGGUGGGCGCACCAGGCAGAUUGUGGUGGGUUGAAGAGCUCGUGGGAGGUACUGAAGUGGAGAUGGCCAGUGUAGAUGAAUUUCUUAAGAAGCUUAGCUGUGAAAAGGAGAGAGGGACAGUGAUUGCUAGAGGGAGAUGUGGGGGCAGAUAGAGGGUUCUUAUUCCCAGAUGGGAGAGACUUGAGCUUCUAUAAAUGUUGGUAAGAAGGAGGCAACAGAGAGAGAGAGAGGGGUUGAGAUACAGGAGGGAGAGGGGGUGAUUGUUGUGGAGGAGGUAGCAGUGGUGGGUUCCAGAGCCCAGGUGGAGGGGCUGGCCUUAAAUAGUAUAGGGGCCCUCUCUUUCUUACAGAAAAGGAAGGCAGGGGUGGUGGGGUGGAGAAAUAUGAGGGUGUUGAGCGGGUUGGUGAGAGAAAUGCUUCAGUGAAGUUCAGAGCAACAAAUGGAGAUCCCUGACCAAGGGAUGGAUGCUGGAGCUAGGAGGGAGCAAGGAAUACUUCUGGUUGAGAGUCAGAGAGGACUUCCUGCAGGAAGCAGCAUUUAAGCUGGGCUAUGAUGUUCAGAUGGGAUUUCCAUAGGAAAAGAUGUAUGCAGAAGGAAGGAGCAGAGUCAGCAAAGGCACAGAGGUGUGAAAAGGUUGGCCAUCCUGAUGGAAUAAUGAACAAGCUGAUUUGAUGAAGGGUGAGAUGAGUGAGCCACUGAUGAUGACAGUAAUAAUAACAGUUACUACGUAAGAAGCACCAAACCUACCCUGUGGCAGGUGCCUUACGUACUUGAAUUCAUUUAAUCCCACCAUGCCCUGUGGAAUAGGUGUUUUCCAUUUUGCAGAUGAGGCAAAUUAGUCCUAGAGAAGUGAAGAGGUGGACCCAAGGCUACCCAGCUAGUAGGAGGUGUGGCCAAUAUUCAUACCCAGGUCUGUCUAACUCUAAAGCCCAUGCUUUUUCCACCUGACAGGGAAAGCCAGGUGAGGCCAUAUUGUGGGGGAGCCUUGAAUGCCAAGUUGAGGAGUCUGACCUUUAUCAAGGAAGCAGUGGGGAGCCAAGGGAAGAGGAGGAGGAGGAGGAGACUGAGGAAGAGGAAGAGGAAGACGCUCAUCAGUUCUGCUGUCCGGCCUCCGAGUGCAGUAGUCCCUCCUCUCGGUAACUGAGAGGACAAGGGUCAUUUUCUAUGCAGAAGCAAAAGCCUUAACCAGCCCCCCAACCUGCCCUGCCCAGGACCCCCCAUGGGACCCUGUCCCUGCUUCAGGAUAGGCAAGCAUCAUGCCCCUUCCUCCCCCACCUCCUUCUUGCAACUCCCCCAUCCCCCCACUGCUGCCUCCCCUGGACUCCAGCCCCUGAGUUAUAAAGGCUGGAGCCCUAGGUCUGACUAAAAUGUGGGAGCACUAGAGCUUGGAGCUUGGAGCUUGGAACCUGGACCCUCCCGUACCCACACCCCACUUCCCAGGCACCCUGGAGCCUGCCACUCCUGGAGAGGUCUCCAAAUGACAUCCCAAGGACCUACCUCUGUCCUCUGUGAGCACAAACAGAGAUUCAGGGUGCCUAGGGCUCAGAGGACCAGACGGGGGCGGGACCCAGCCUGCCUAGUUCCCCAUUGCUCGCUCUCUGGUUCCCUCGCUGUGGCCAUUGCUGCCAUCUCCACUGCUUGAAGGCCUUGCCCCAUGCCCUCUGCCACUCCCAUAGUGCUCUGUAAAUAUGAUCAGGAUGAAAGGGCUUUCAGAGUGCGGGUGUUGCUGUGUACAAAGGAAUUUCCAUCAAUAAAAGCUGAUCUCUUC